GAUGAACGCUGGCGGCGUGCCUAAUACAUGCAAGUCGAGCGAACAGACGAGGAGCUUGUUCCUCUGACGUUAGCGGCGGACGGGUGAGUAACACGUGGAUAACCUACCUAUAAGACUGGGAUAAUUUCGGGAAACCGGAGCUAAUACCGGAUAAUAUAUUGAACCGCAUGGUUCAAUAGUGAAUGACGGUUUUGCUGUCUCUUAUAGAUGGAUCCGCGCCGCAUUAGCUAGUUGGUAAGGUAACGGCUUACCAAGGCGACGAUGCGUAGCUGACCUGCGAGGGUGAUCGGCCACACUGGAACUGAGACACGGUCCAGACUCCUACGGGAGGCAGCAGUAGGGAAUCUUCGGCAAUGGGCGGAAGCCUGACGGAGCAACGCCGCGUGAGUGAUGAAGGUCUUCGGAUCGUAAAACUCUGUUAUUAGGGAAGAACAAAUGUGUAAUUAAAUAUGCACGUCUUGACGGUACCUAAUCAGAAAGCCACGGCUAACUACGUG
rnacentral:rRNA from 1 species